rnacentral:rRNA from 1 species
GAUGAACGCUGGCGGCGUGCCUAAUACAUGCAAGUCGAGCGAACGGAUAAGGAGCUUGCUCCUUUGAAGUUAGCGGCGGACGGGUGAGUAACACGUGGGUAACCCACCUAUAAGACUGGAAUAACUUCGGGAAACCGGAGCUAAUGCCGGAUAACAUUUGGAACUGCAUGGUUCUAACGUAAAAGAUGGUUUUGCUAUCACUUAUAGAUGGACCCGCGCCGUAUUAGCUAGUUGGUAAGGUAACGGCUUACCAAGGCAACGAUACGUAGCCGACCUGAGAGGGUGAUCGGCCACACUGGAACUGAGACACGGUCCAGACUCCUACGGGAGGCAGCAGUAGGGAAUCUUCCGCAAUGGACGAAAGUCUGACGGAGCAACGCCGCGUGAGUGAUGAAGGUUUUCGGAUCGUAAAACUCUGUUAUUAGGGAAGAACAAAUGUGUAAGUAACUGUGCACAUCUUGACGGUACCUAAUCAGAAAGCCACGGCUAACUACGUGCCAGCAGCCGCCGUAA